CUACCAUGGCGUUUACGGGUAACGGAGGAUUAGGGUUCGAUUCCGGAGAGGGAGCCUGAGAAACGGCUACCACAUCUAAGGAAGGCAGCAGGCGCGUAAAUUACCCAAUCCUGACUCAGGGAGGUAGUGACAAGAAAUAACGGACCGUUCGCCAUCUGGCGUCGGGACUGCAAUGAGCCGAAUUUACACCCCUUAGCGAGGACCAAUUGGAGGGCAAGUCUGGUGCCAGCAGCCGCGGUAAUUCCAGCUCCAAUAGCGUAUAUUAAAGUUGUUGCAGUUAAAAAGCUCGUAGUUGGAUCUCUGCGAGGGUGCCAAUGUCCGCCGGCGCGCGUGCGCAGCGGCGCCCUCGCAUCCUUCUGUUACCACCUCUCGGCAUUCACUUGCUGGUGGUCGGCUCAGAGAAUUUACCUUGAGAAAAUUAGAGUGUUUCAGGCAGGCUAGGCCGGAAUACAUUAGCAUGGAAUAAUGGAAUAGGACUACGGUCUCGUUGUUGGUUUGAGGGACUGCAGUAAUGAUUAAUAGGGAUAGUUGGGGGCAUUAGUAUUUAAUUGUCAGAGGUGAAAUUCUCAGAUUUGUUAAAGACUAACUUAUGCGAAAGCAUUUGCCAAGGAUGUUUUCAUUAAUCAA
rnacentral:rRNA from 1 species